rnacentral:misc_RNA from 1 species
UCAGGUUCAGCUGCUUACCAGUCUGAAGGAGCUGCCCAUGUUGAUGGCAGGGGACUAAGCAUCUGGGAUACCUUCACAAAGCUGCAUCCUGAAAAAAUUUGGGAUCACAGCUCAGGAGAUGUAGCUGAUGAUUUUUAUCAUCUUUACAAGGAGGACGUACAAUUAAUGAAAAAAAUUGGUUUGGAUUCUUUCAGAUUCUCCAUCUCAUGGCCUAGAAUAUUACCCAAG